rnacentral:lncRNA from 1 species
AAAUUCUCGACAUUAUAUAAUCAAUAGUUUAAUUUUUAUAGAACAUUACCUACAAUUUGAUGCAACAUGUCCAAUAGUUCAAAAUACAAAAUAAUUGCAAGAAAUGUGAGCUAGGGUGACUGCCUGACUGGGUGAGGGUCUGAGGGAGAAUGAGAGAGAGAGAGAGAGAGAGGGGAAAAAAAUUAGGGAUUUGAGAAUUUGAAUGUUAUCAUGUUUUAGGGUUAUGUGCAACAGUGAAAGUCUGAAAGAGAGAGUGUGUUAUGUAAAUUUAGAGUUGGGCUCAAUUGCACGGUUGUAUUUGUUGGGUUUAUUUUAUAGGUCAACAAUAAUGGCCCAAAUUAAAUUAAAGCCUAUAUAUAAUUAAAAUACAUUAUAUAUAUAUAUAUAUAUUCGAGCUUUUCGAGCUUUUCGAGCCUAAUUCGAACGAGCUGAGUAAUACUCAAGCUCGGCUUGAAAUGAAUUUCGAGCCUUUUAUUUUGUUCAAGCUCGGCUCAUUUAAUUUCGAGUCGAGCUCGAGCGAGCCAAAUAUCGAGCCAAACACGAGUCGAACGCGAGCCGGCUCGCUCGUUUGCCAG